UGAUGAUCCCUCUUCGUCUUCGUCAAUCCUUUGGUUUAUCUCACGUUCACUGGUCCAUUUUUCAUUCGGGUGAAUCUCACUGCUUCCUUCUGCUGGUUUCAAAGAGAAAUUCUGCAAUGAACUCUAUUACCCCAAGAACAUCUUCUCUCCCAGGUUGCAGAAGAUUUAUCUCUUGAAUCUGAGAAGGCGAAGGAGUUCUCACAGGUAAAGACUGCUUUUUUACAUCUCUUCAUUUCCUCUUAUUGAAAUCUCAAAGUGGCUCUAAUAUCUUCUGUAUCUAAUUUAAUUAGCCUAAUUAAUCAACCGUAUGGUAUCAAAUAUAUGAGAUGGACAGCGGGUGUCUGGUGGAGCCAUGCUCAUGCAGCUGCUUUUCCGUAUGGUAUCACUGCUUGUCACUGAUGCUAGCAGUGGAGGCAGCAUCUCCUCCUCGGUUGAAGAAUGUAUGUUUGGCCAGUGGUUGAACGCCUGUCAUCGUAAGAUAGCACCGUCCAACGAUGAAGGGACAGAGAGCGCACUCCUCCACUUAGCAGCCGCCCACUGGAGUAGUGGAGGAGGCGUCGUUUGUCUCUCCCAUUUUUUGCAUGGCCGCCCUUUCUCGCAAGGAAUCGAGUAAAGAGCGGUCACGUCAAUCGGUCGCUGCUGGAGAUGCCGAUUGGCUGCUGCAAAAGGUUCACAGACAAUUAUUCUCUUCUAAAAAGUCUCUCCUUUUGCUCCCACUACGCGCGCGACCCCAACAGCACAUCUCAAAUUAUUUACGAUGAAUUCUUAAAGAAAAUCUUUAUUUUUAGAUUUUUUUGAUGAGAAAUACUCGACGCCCAAUACAUGAUGUGACUGCUAAAAGAUGAGGUCUAUCUAUCUAUCUAUCCAUCUCUGUAUGCGGUCGGCGACUCUUAACCUUCGGGCACACAGAAAUGGAGAGCUCAUCGAAGCUGGCACAGGACUACGCCCGGGAUGGCUCGGUGGAUCUCAAAGGCAACCCUGUGUCGAGGUCUCAGAGAGGUGGAUGGUUUGCUUGCUACUUCAUCGUCGUGUACGACGCUGUGGAGAGGAUGGCGUACCAGGGGAUAUCAUCCAACCUGGUGCUGUACCUUACCAGGAAUCUGCACCAAGGCACGCUGACCGCCGCCAACAAUGUCACGUACUGGGUGGGAACUGGAUACUUGAUGCCCGUUCUGGGCGCUUAUGUCGCGGACGCACAUCUCGGACGAUACUGGACCUUCGUCCUCUCCUCGGCCAUCUAUUUCCUGGGAAUGUGCCUGCUAACGUUGGCCGUCUCCUUGCCAUCGUUAAGACCGCCUCCUUGCACUCACCAGGGCGACGCUCCCAAGUGUUCGCCGGCCUCGGUGCUGCAGGUGGGUGUCUUCCUCGGUGCACUCUACGUGGUCGCAUUUGGAUCUGGAGGAACCAAGCCCAACAUCUCCACCAUCGGCGCCGACCAGUUCGAUGAAUUCGAUCCCCGGGAGAGGGCUCACAAGAUCUCCUUCUUCAACUGGUGGUUCUUCAGUUCCUUCCUCGGAACCCUCUUCGCAGGCAUCGUCUUGGUGUUCAUCCAGGACAACGUGGGCUGGCCCUUGGGAUAUGGAAUCCCCACCAUCGCCCUCCUCCUCUCCGUCUCCAUCUUCUUGUCCGGCACUCGUUUCUACCGGCAUAAGGUUCCUCAGGGCAGCCCGCUCACCAGGAUGGCAAGAGUCAUCGUGGCCGCCAUCAGAAAAUGGAAUCUCCCCCUCCCCAAGAGUGCAGCAGAGCUCCAUGAACUGGAUCCCGAGGAGUACACGAGGAAGGGACAGUUUAGGAUCCUUCCUUCGGAUUCCUUGAGGCUUCUCAACAAAGCAGCGGUGAGAGUUGGCUCAACGUCGACGCCAUGGAUGCUGACCACUGUCACGGAAGUCGAGGAAACCAAACAGAUGCUGCGGAUGAUCCCGAUUUGGGUCGCGUGCUUCUUUCCAUCCACCGUAGUCGCCCAGGUGAACACUCUGUUCGUGAAGCAGGGCACCACCCUGGACCGCCGAAUCAAUGUAGGUCGUCACCACCUCCAAAUCCCUCCUGCCACCCUCGUGUCGUUCGUUCUCCAUGCUCGUAUCCGUCGUCGUCUACGACCGCUACUUCGUCAAGAUCAUGAGGAGUUGGACCAACAACCCCAGAGGAAUAACUCUGCUUCAGCGAAUCGGAACGGGCUUCCUCCUCCACAUCAUCACCAUGCUGGUCGCGUCUCUCACCGAGAGCAGACGACUACGGGCGGCCAGAGACGACGUUCGGCUCACCAUCUUCGGACUGAUUCCUCAGUUCGUUCUCAUGGGAGUAGCCGAUUGUUUCAUGGUGGUGGGGAUGGUGGAGUUCUUCUACAGCCAAGCGCCUGAGAGCAUGAAGAGUUUGGGGACUUCCUACUCGUUUGCCACCUAUGGCGUCGGCAACAUUCUCAGCAGCCUUCUGCUCAUGGCCGUCUCUGACAUUACCAAGAGGAAUGGCAGGGAGGGAUGGAUCUCGAACAACCUCAAUUCAUCGCAUCUGGAUUUCUACUAUGCAUUGCUGGGAGUCCUCGGUUUCAUCAACUUCGUCUUCUUCGUCUACGUCAGUAGGGUGUACGUGUACAAGGCCGAGGUGUACGAACAACAGGUGGAGGCAUCGACGGAGCAGCAUCGUGCAGCAUGAAGACUCCACCGUGCAUGUCAAGAGUCGGCUACCGUCGUGUACACAAAGCAGGAAUGAAUAGGAAGAUUAAUCAA